CCGGAGUUGGGGGUUGAUCAGGGCAAGUUCAAAGUCAUGGGUCAGCUCAAUUAUUUCUGAGAAGAAAAGAAAGGGAAAAGGUCAACGUGUUUUGGCCGUUUGACCGUGAUACCACAAACAGUGUCUAAACAAUGAACUCGUGGAUCUCAAUACCAUCAUUGAGUUUGAAGGAGCUGUGCAAUACACGGAGAUGGACUUUUUCUUUAAAGAGAUGCUUCCCGUUCUAUGUAUCCUGUUCUUGUGUGUUCAUCUUCUUAGGCUAUGAGUUCUAUAAAAGAUCAUAUGUUUUCGUAU